ACGAACGCUGGCGGCGUGCUUAACACAUGCAAGUCGAACGCUGAAGCACCAGCUUGCUGGUGUGGAUGAGUGGCGAACGGGUGAGUAAUACGUGAGUAACCUGCCCUUGACUCUGGGAUAAGCCCGGGAAACUGGGUCUAAUACUGGAUGCUACAUGUCACCGCAUGGUGGUGUGUGGAAAGGGUUUACUGGUCUUGGAUGGGCUCACGGCCUAUCAGCUUGUUGGUGAGGUAAUGGCUCACCAAGGCGACGACGGGUAGCCGGCCUGAGAGGGUGACCGGCCACACUGGGACUGAGACACGGCCCAGACUCCUACGGGAGGCAGCAGUGGGGAAUAUUGCACAAUGGGCGAAAGCCUGAUGCAGCGGCGCCGCGUGAGGGAUGACGGCCUUCGGGUUGUAAACCUCUUUCAGCAGGGAAGAAGCCACAAGUGACGGUACCUGCAGAAGAAGCGCCGGCUAACUACGUG
rnacentral:rRNA from 1 species